GCUCACGAUCUCACAAAAUGGGAUCUGUUCAGUAACUGCUACAGAUUACUGAGAACUGGAAUUGAACACGGAGCUAUGCCAGAACAGAUAGUUGUUCAGGCACUGCAGUGUUCCCAUUACUCUAUUCUCUGGCAGCUGGUGAAAAUCACUGAAGGCUCCCCUUCCAAAGAGGACUUGUUGGUAUUGAGGAAAACUGUGAAAUCCUUUCUGGCCGUCUGCCAGCAGUGUCUAUCAAAUGUCAACACUCCAGUCAA